GGCAUCGUAGCUCAGCUAAUAGAGCUAAUAGUGCGCUUGCCGCAUUGAGGCAUGGUGUUUCUGUCGCUGGUUCGAAUCCAGCCGAAGCCC